rnacentral:rRNA from 1 species
CUGCGUCCCAUCAGCUAGUUGGUAGGGUAAUGGCCUACCAAGGCGAUGACGGGUAGGGGACCUGAGAGGGUGGACCCCCAGAAUGGAACUGAUACACGGUCCAUACACCUACGGGUGGCAGCAGUAGGGAAUAUUGGUAAUGUGCGAAAGCGCGAACCAGCAACGCCGCGUGUGCGAUGACGGCCUUCGGGUUGUAAAGCACUUUUCGGGAGGAAGAGGAAGGACUGUACUCCCGGAAUAAGUCUCGGCUAACUACGUGCCAGCAGCCGCGGUUAAUACGUAGGAGGCAAACGUUAUCCGGAUUUACUGGGCGUAAAGCGCGUGCAGGCUGUUCAAUAAGUUGGGCGUGAAAGCUCCCGGCUCAACUGGGAGCAGGUCGUUCAAUACUGUUGGACUAGAGGAUGGUAGAGGAAGGUGGAAUUCCGGGUGUAGUGGUGAAAUGCGCAGAUAUCCGGAGGAACACCAGUGGCGAAAGCGGGCUUCUGGACCAUUCCUGACGCUCAGACGCGAAAGCUAGGGUAGCGAACGGGAUUAGAGACCCCGGUAGUCCUAGCUGUACACGAUGUGAACUUGGCGUCGGUGGGAUUAAAUCCAUCGGUGUCGGAGCUAACGCGAGAAGUUCACCGCCUGAGGACUACGCUCGCAAGGUUAAAACUCAAAGGAAUUGACGGGGACCCGCACAAGCAGCGGAGCGUGUGGUUUAAUUCGUUGCUACACGAAGAACCUUACCUGGGUCUGACAUAUAGGUUGUAGGGAACUGAAAAGGGACCGACCCUUCGGGGAGCCUAUACAGGUGUUGCAUGGCUGUCGUCAGCUCGUGUCGUGAGAUGUUCGGUUAAGUCCGCUUACGAGCGCAACCCUCGCCGUAUGUUAUACGUGUCAUACGGGACUGCCGGUAAUAAGCCGGAGGAAGGUGGGGAUGAUGUCAAGUCAGCAUGACCUUUAUAUCCAGGGCUACACACACGCUA